UUCAAAGUUUUACUGUCUCAGUUGAACAACAAUCGUAAAAAGUUCUAAAAAUGAAAUUCCUCAACGCAAUCGCUGUCGCCAUUUUUGUUCUGAUUGCCGUCGCUGAACCGGACCCAAGAGUGGUAUAUAGAAAGGGCAAGUAAAAUGUAACAACAUUUUACGAUCAUCCCAGAAUCGCAACAGAGCAUCAGGACUUCAGGUAAAACUACCAACGAAUGUUGCCUCGUGAAAACUUGUGUAACGUGAAGAACAAUUUUCCAACCUUUAAUAUUACGAAUGGUUCUGAGUUGUUUCAAAGUUUCUGUUAAAUAAAUUCAUGGAUUGAUCGGAAAAA